CCGGAAGUGCGUCGGAACGUCACUUCCGUCGCAUCCCCGCCGCCGCCAUGCCGCUCGCCGCUCGCUUGGCCCGCUCCCUGCUGCGCCCCGCGGUCCGGCCAGGCCCGGCCCGGCGCGGUCUCGUCACGGGGCCUCCGCAGGAUCCGUUGGGGCCCGCGGAGACCGCCGUCGGUUUCGCCGCCAUGUUCGCCGUGUGCCUGGGCCCCGCCGCCUGGGUGCUGGCGCACCUGGAGGACUACAAGAAGCGGGAGUGAGCCGGGGCCUGCACCGGGACCACCAACGGGACCAGCACCGGGACCACGAACCGGGACCAGCGCCCAAGGGCCCCCCGGGCCCCGCGCCCCAAUAAAGGCCGCUGAUGUUC